UACGAAGGGGGCUAGCGUUGUUCGGAAUUACUGGGCGUAAAGCGUGCGCAGGCGGCCAUUCAAGUCAGGGGUGAAAGCCCAGAGCUCAACCCUGGAACUGCCCUUGAAACUGUAUGGCUUGAGUAUGAAAGAGGUGAGUGGAAUUCCCAGUGUAGAGGCGAAAUUCGUAGAUAUUGGGAAGAACACCGGUGGCGAAGGCGGCUCACUGGCGUCAUAACUGACGCUCAUGCACGACAGCGUGGGGAUCAAACAGG
rnacentral:rRNA from 1 species